CAAAAUGAUUUGCGCUGUUAACUCAAGGCCUCUCAAAUAUAUUUCUUCAGACAACAGAUAUCACUAAGAAAUGUCAUGGAUUAAAAUCUUCAUUUGAUCAGUGUGGAGACAACACAGGAGAAAAGAAUACAGAUUGGAAAGUCAAGGAAAAGAUCAAAUUGGAUACACAGUGGUUUCAGAAAACCAACACUCUUCCAAAAUGGACACAAAUACUUAACUUCCAAUUAACACCAACCAAAUUAUCGUGCAAGAUUCACUAGAAGGGGGCAUGUCUCCAUUGCAGACAUCUGCAGUGAAGAUAAAGCAAAAAGAUACUGGCAGAUAAGUGAGGCACAGACAUGCAGAAAGAGACAUGCCCCAGGGGCAGCAGCAAAAACAAGAUUUUGUCUUCUUCAAUCCCCAGCUGUCCAGCCUCCGGGCACUCACCUCUCCAACCUUUGGGCACACCAAUAAAUGGAAUAUGACAGCUACAUGCUUCCUUCUCACUCCCUUCCUUUAGAGUUGUGAGCAGAAGGCAAGAAAGUUGGGCCAGAACACCAGUCACUGGGGCUGAAGCCCGGAAUUCCAUUGGGCUUUAUGAUGCCAAGGUUACUAUCUCUAUGGUUAUAUGCUUCUCAAGCUUUACCUCUGCUUUCCAGCAUGUUAAAUUUGCCCACAUUCUACAAAGCCUAUUACAAAUUACAUCCACCCAUCAGAUUAGAGAUCACGGUAAUGGAGAGCUAUUGGAAAACACAUUAUGUCUCCAGCAGGCUCCCAGGGAAGUCUGACAGCACUUUGUUCCUGGUUUCCCUACUCAUGCUCAUGAUUUUCAUACCAAGUUAAGAAGAACCAAUUACAAACUGCAAUUUGUCACCACAAACUUCACAAGAUCAUUUACAAAAAGAAGGUUGUAGGAAGCCUUGAAUUUUGAAUUUGAAGCCUAGAACCUCUGAAAUGUUAGGUUUGGACUUUAUAGGGAAGGAAAGAAAACAUUUGACAGAAGCUGUAAGACUAGAGGUAGGCAAGUAUAAAAGAAUCAGAAAAACUACAGAAUAAUAUACAUCUAAGAAUUUGAA